CGGCAACAGCUCAAAUUUGAAAUCUGCCCGCAAGGGCCGAGUUGUAAUUUGUAGAGGAUGUUUCGAGCUUGGUCCGGUCUAAGUUCCUUGGAACAGGACGUCAUAGAGGGUGAGAAUCCCGUAUGUGACUGGGUGCCUAUGCUCAUGUGAAACUCCUUCGAC
rnacentral:rRNA from 1 species